UGCAUGUAGUAUUAUACCACCCUAUGAAAGUUAUGCAUGUAUAGGAAUAUUAUUAUUGCUAUGCUGUUGAGCUAUAUCCCUCGUCAUUGAAGAUCGUGGUAUUUGUAAUUUUGCUAUGCUAUGUAGACGGGGAUUGGUUCCUGUAUUCAUUGAGAUUAUGUGAGUAUUACUACAAAAUAAAUUGAGUAGUAAUUAAGGAUUUAAUUCACCUCUGGGCGGAUAUGGUAUUGCUGGGUGGUUUCAAGAACAUCAUGGUAUCUACCCUCUGAACGUAAGUGGAUGCCGCCCAGGUUCAAAAAGAUCAAACAGACUUAGUAACUAGUAGCUUCCUUGUGCGACCACUAGCUAUUAUGGGCUCUGGCUUAGUUGAUCAGUCGUGGAAACCUUACCCGGAUGUGCCAGCUGAUGUAGCUAUGAUAGGUGGGAUGGGCCUCCUGUGGGACUAGGUGACUGCUUCUGAAAGACUUCGUCUCAAUCUUCGGGUUGGGUCCAGUGGGUACAGCGU
rnacentral:lncRNA from 1 species